CUACAUAUUAUGCACAAAAUUUACCCUUAUAGAAAUAUUGAAGGCCUAUGAACCAUUGCCUCUCUUUAACAGAUAUAUAAAUUGUUGGCUUCCAAGUUCAUUGACCAUAUAACAUAAUAAAAGAGAUACAAACAAUGCCCGUGAGAAAUGGCACACUAUUCCUGUUCUGUACUACUCUCAAGUUCCCUCUUUCAAAACUGAAGGAGCAACGCCUUGAUGUAAAAGCACACCAAUAUUGAAGCAAUAAUGCUCCUGAAUAAUAUGCUUCACUGGCAGAAGCUUGUCACCGUGGUAACACAACAACAUCAGGCAACAUUGUUUUGUUCCUUUGUCCAUGAAAAUUCUUAAGAUAAAAUAUGAUGUUAAAAUUAACAAAACAACAAAAUGAGGCAUUUCUUUGAAUCAUACUUAUUUGUAACAGGUAAACAACAGCAUAUUUUUAUUCAUAUUUUUAAAACUGUGUAAAAACAUCAACUUGACCCUAUGUGAUCUUAGAGAAAUGGGAUGAACUUUUAACAACUCAUCUGCUACAUUUCUAAAUGGGCACAACUUGUUAAGAGAUGAGAAAUCUGCUAAGAGAGCAGUGAUGUCGUUGUCAGAAGUGGUCAAAGGAGCAGGGAAAACAAAGUACAUCCCAGCAGAUGAAGGAAAAAGAGCUAUGGAAAAAGAUGAAGGAAAAUGAGCUGGAACAAGUGAACCUGCCAGAGGUGUAUGAGAAGUACUUGGAAAAAAGCUGAGGUCAUUCUAGACAAGGCAACAGCCAGCAGACCCCAAAACAUGUGAGAGAACACAGCCAAGAUCAGUUCAUCUCAGCCCAGAUCAGCCCAGUACAUAAUGCCAACCUAAUAUAUAGAUUUGUGAGGAAUAAUAAAAGGUGGUUGUUUUAAACGA